CCUACGGGUGGCAGCAGUGAGGAAUAUUGGUCAAUGGGCGCGAGCCUGAACCAGCCAAGUAGCGUGAAGGAUGACUGCCCUACGGGUUGUAAACUUCUUUUAUAAAGGAAUAAAGUGAGGCACGCGUGCCUUUUUGUAAGUACUUUAUGAAUAAGGAUCGGCUAACUCCGUGCCAGCAGCCGCGGUAAUACGGAGGAUCCGAGCGUUAUCCGGAUUUAUUGGGUUUAAAGGGAGCGUAGAUGGGUUGUUAAGUCAGUUGUGAAAGUUUGCGGCUCAACCGUGAAAUUGCAAUUGAUACUGGCAGCCUUGAGUACAGUUGAGGUAGGCGGAAUGCGUGGUGUAGCGGUGAAAUGCUUAGAUAUCACGAAGAACUCCGAUUGCGAAGGCAGCUUACUAAGCUGCCACUGACAUUGAGGCUCGAAAGUGUGGGUAUCAAACAGGAUUAGAUACCCUAGUAGUC
rnacentral:rRNA from 1 species